AUUAAAAUUCAAUUAUGGAUCUGUGGAACGUCUUUACUUCAUUCAAAAUAUAUUUCCGUUACAUUGUUCAUUAAUAAAAUUAUGUUGGAAGAGUUCAUCAGACCAGACAGUAUGUUAUUUUAUGUGAACAAUUCACAAUUUCCUCAAGACUGUAACUCUCUCACCCAGUUCUGAGUAAUGCUUCCUGACCCAAAAUGCUAACUGAUUUCUCAGAUAUUGCUUUACCGGCUGAGAUCUUCCACAAUUUUCCGUCGUUAUCAGCACAUUCUUCCGCCUGCAAAAGAAUUCUUCACUGAACUUAUAACUCGUAGUGAGAAUCAAAUUAAAUACACACCUAGACCUUAACACACACAAAAUGCUGGAGGAACUCAGCAAAUUAGGUAGCAUCUAUGGGAAUGAAUAAACAGUCAACGUUUCGGGCUGAGAUUCUUCUUCAGGACUGGAAAGAAAGGUGGAAGAUACCAGAAUAAAGAGUGACGGAGGGGAAGGAAUAUAGGUGAAGCUGGGUGCGUGGAAAAUGUAAAGCGCUGGGGAAGAAGGAAUCUGAUAGGAGAGUGGACCAUGGAAGAAAGGGAAGAAGGAGGAGCACUAGGGGGAGGUGAUAGGCCGUUGAGAAGGUGUAAGAGGCCACAGUGGGGAAUAGAAGACGAGGGAAGGGAGGGGAGGGAAAUUUAAACCUUAAUCAUUGUUAAUUAUGUUUCCAUAAUGCUUCCUGCUUUUUUUUCACCGGCAUGAACCGGUGAAAUACAAUAACUGACACGAAGCCGAGUGUAACGAAUUUAGGACAUCCCAAACAGAGUGACCCCCACCCACCCUCUACUUCCUCUGACUCAACGACGUGCCUCCAAUUUGUUUUGAUUCUUUCGGUGCCCAGAAUGCGUUAGGUUUGCGCAUGCGCAGCGUGGCACUAGCUGGCUCCUCGGAGGAGGCCGCCUUCAGCCAGGGGUAGAAAGAGGGGGGGAGGAAAGCUUCCACCUGCGGUCCGAGUGGCUCCUACCAUCGGCAGAGAUAAUACCUUACCGCUGGGAGCCUCGGCCAAACCCCGUCACCUCCUCCUCCCUCCCCUCCCGAUCGAGCGAAGGAGACGGAUGCACGGGGGCAACAGGCCUGUCUGAGCACUGUCAAUGCGUGUUCUCUCCCCAUCCGUUCUCCUUCCAAUGUUGCUCGUCUCCGCCGCGGCACCGGAUUUGAAUUGUGGGAGGAGCAGCGCGGCCGGACGCGGACCUGGAACUGCAGCUGUGCGCCCCGCUGCCCAUCGCCGCCUUCUCCGCCGCUGAGGUGGCUUUCUCCAGUCUUUUCCCGUCCCCGCCUGCCAUGAACAGCGGCGGUGGCGGGCUGCAGAGCGUGGGCUGCAAGGUGAAGUACUGCCGUUACUAUGCCAAGGACAAGACCUGUUUCUACGGCGACGAAUGUCAAUUCCUGCACGAGGAUCCCAACAAUGGCGGCGCUUCCGCGAGCCUCGGUCUUGUCGUCAAUAACAACCACCCGGGACUGGGAGUCGGGGCGGUCGCGGCGACGGCGGCGGUCGGAGGUGGCGGCGGGGGAGGAGCUGCUGGAGGUGUCGCCUCCGUUAGCGGCUGUGGAGGGGCUGUUAGUGGUGGCGGGAUAACAGCAGCAGGCGGAGGCGGAUUCCCCCACGGAGGGCUCAAGAAAAACGAGAUCAGCAGCUUGGUGGAACCCGGGCAGCUUCUCACCAUUCCAGGAAUGGAUACAACAAUACCAGAUAACCUCACCAACUCGUUCUUCAGCAGCAGCUUUAUUGGGGUCAAUGGCUUUGGAGGAGGGCCAGCUGAGCCAAAGUACCCUCUGAUUCAGAGGCAAGCUAACAGCAGCAGCUCACCGAGCCUGUUGAGUGAUUGUGCCAAAGCUUAUGCCUGUGCAGGACAUGAUCAACUAAGUUUACCUGCCUCAUUGUUCAGUGAUUUCUCUAGCCUCAACAUCUCCCAAAGGAGAAAGGCACCAAAUCCAGCUGCAAGUGAGUUCAUCCCAAAAGGAGGAUCAACCCCAAGGCUAAGUUCUGUGUCCCAAUCCAAUAUGUCUGCCUUUUCACCAGCCUUAUUCUCUCAUCCGUCAUUGGGCAGUCCAUCAGCAGCUGUCUUAGCUCCAGGAAUGUCCUUAUCAGCUGGAUCGUCUCCUCUGCACUCUCCAAAAAUAACUCCUCAUACAUCGCCUGCCCCUCGAAGAAGGAGCCAUACUCCAAAUCCAGCAAAUUUCAUGGUAGCUACUAGUGCCUCUACACCAGUGUCUGAUGCAGUCUCUCAGUCUUCAUCUUCUGGUCAGGUGAUACAAAAAGAAACUGUGGGAGGGACAACUUACUUCUAUACUGACACAACUCCAGGACCUCUUCCAGGAAUGGUAUUUCCAACAUAUAUUUAUCCUUCAUCUGCACCCCAUGUUGCUUAUAUGCAACCCAAAGCAAAUGCACCUUCUUUCUUUCUGUCCGAUGAACUCAGACAGGAAUUGAUCCACAAGCAUUUAAUAACUAUGGCACAGAUUGACCAAACAGAAAAUCCAGGGUUUCCAACUGAAGUGGACAGUUACCACAGUCUUUUUCCUUUGGAGCCCCCACCAGCUAACCGGCUACAAAAAACAAGUAAUUUUGGUUUCAUUACAUCAUGUUAUAAAGCUAUCAGUAGCAAAGACGAUCUCCCAUACUGCCUACGCAGGAUACAUGGUUUUCGUCUUAUUAACACAAAGUGUAUGGUCUUAGUAGACAUGUGGAAGAAGAUACAGCAUUCAAACACAGUAACACUGAGAGAGGUAUUCACUACCAAAGCAUUUGGAGAACACUCACUUGUAUUUGCAUAUGAUUUCCAUGCUGGAGCAGAGACUAUGAUGAACAGGCACUUCAAUGACCCUAGCGCUGAUGCCUAUUUCACAAAAAGAAAAUGGGGUCAGCAUGAUGGACCUCUCCCUCGCCAACAUGCAGGAUUAUUGCCAGAGUCACUUAUCUGGGCCUACAUUGUCCAGUUGAGCUCAGCACUGCGGACCAUUCAUACUGCAGGACUAGCCUGUCGUGUGAUGGAUCCAACCAAGAUUCUUAUAACUGGUAAAACCAGGUUGCGUGUAAAUUGUGUUGGAAUUUUUGAUGUCUUAACUUUUGAUAGUAGUCAAAAUAAUCCACUGGGAAUGAUGCCUCAGUAUCAGCAAGCUGAUCUGAUAUCUCUGGGAAAAGUGGUUUUGGCCUUGGCAUGCAAUUCUGUGGCAGGAAUUCAACGAGAGAAUAUACAAAAGGCUAUGGAUUUGGUGUCACUCAAUUAUUCUUCAGACCUGAAAAACCUAAUUUUAUAUUUGUUGACUGAUCAAAAUCGGCUGCGCAGUGUAAAUGAUAUUAUGCCAAUGAUUGGUGCCAGAUUUUACACACAAUUGGAUGCUGCACAGAUGAGAAAUGAUGUUAUAGAAGAUGAUCUGAUGAAGGAGGUGCAAAAUGGAAGGCUGUUUAGGCUGCUAGCAAAAUUGGGAACAAUCAAUGAGAGGCCAGAGUAAGCUUUAUUUAUAGAAACUCUCAACAGAAAAUGAAGUUGUAGAGUUAUUGUUCCCAUCUCCUUCUCUCUUUUCACUUUUUCUUUUCUGAAUAUUACCUCGUAUGUAGUCUAGGCCUGAGAUUCCACUGAACAUUCAGUUAAUCAGAUUGUAUGAUUCCAAUAAGUCAUAGCUAGUUUAGUAAUUAUCAGCAGUGGAAUUAAAUGAAAUAAUUGGCUUUUUAUUUAUGCAGGAGAAAUGGGUGAGUACUUAAAAUAUUUAAUUCCGAUCUUAUUUUUCAUUGUAUACUAUUUAGUUCCAUUUUAUUGGUACAAAUUGUUAAAAUUUGUGAGCCAAAAUCACACAAGCUGGAUGUCAGUUUCUUGGGAUUAAAAUAUGCAACCAUCAGAUUUGAUAAUUUAGCAUUGGGCUAUUUGAAUGACGUGAAUAAAUGGAAGAAAAGAAUAUUUUUUGGUUCCAUUUUUCUGUGCAGUUAGUGAUGAUCAGUUUUAUCUAUUUUGCAAGUAUUAGUGAUAGCGUAUAUUCAGUUUUAAUACUAAUACUAGAAUAGUAAUAUUUGCUGCACUACCUGUUGCAAAAAGCCACGCAUCCACGUUCAUUGAAUUUUCUUGCUAUUGUACUUCUGUCCAUCUUCUAUAUCCAUAAAUAGAAGCUUACCCGAAACUCUCGUAUCUAUAUCCUAUUUUACAAAAAUCUGUUCGCUGUUCACCACUGCCUUCACUAACCUACAGUUGCAAGAAAAAGUUUGUGAACCCUUUGCAAUUACUUGUUUUUCUGCAUUAAUUACUCAUAAAAUGUGGUCUGAUCUUCACCUAUGGCACAAUAACACAAUCUGCCUAAACUAAUAACACACGAACAUUUGUACUUUUCAUGCAACACACAUCAAAGUUGCUGGUGAACGCAGCAGGCUAGGCAGCAUCUCUAGGAAGAGGUACAGUCGAUGUUUCAGGCCGAGACGCUUCGUCAGGACUAACUGAAGGAAGAGUUAGUAAGAGAUUUGAAAGUGGGAGGGGGAGAUCCAAAAUGAUAGGAGAAGACAGGAGGGGGAGGGAUAGAGCCAAGAGCUGGACAGGUGAUUGGCAAAGGGGAUAUGAGAGGAUCAUGGGACAGGAGGCCCAGGGAGAAAGAAAAGGGGCGGGGGGAACCCAGAGGAUGGGCAAGGGGUAUAGUCAGAGGGACAGAGGGAGAAAAAGGAGAGUGAGAGAAAGAAUGUGUGUAUAAAAAUAAAUAACGGAUGGGGUACGAGGGGGAGGUGGGACAUUAGCAGAAGUUAGAGAAGUCAAUGUUCAUGCCAUCAGGUUGGAGCCUACCCAGAUGGAAUAUAAGGUGUUGUUCCUCCAACCUGAGUGUGGCUUUAUCUUUACAGUAGAGGAGGCUGUGGAUAGGCAUAUCAGAAUGGCAAUGGGAUGUGGAAUUAAAAUGUGUGGCCACUGGGAGAUCCUGCUUUCUCUGGCGGACAGAGCAUAGGUGUUCAGCAAAGUGGUCUCCCAGUCUGCGUCGGGUCUCGCCAAUAUAUAAAAGGCCACAUCGGGAGCACCGGACAUAGUAUAUUACCCCAGCUGACUCACAGGUGAAGUGUCGCCUCACCUGGAAGGACUGUCUGGGGCCCAGAAUGGUGGUAAGGGAGGAAGUGUAAGGGCAUGUGUAGCACUUGUUCCACUUACAUGGAUAAGUGCCAGAUCCGCUUACAAGGUUUGUUGUACUUUUCAUGUCUUUAUUGAACACAUUGUUUAAUCAUUCACAGUUGAGGCUAGAAAAAGUAUGUGAACCCUUGUAGUUAAUAACUGGUAGAACCUCCUUUAGCAGCAAUAACCUCCACCAAAUGUUUCCUGUAGCUGCUGAUCAGACUUGCACAACAGCAAGGAAGAACUUUAGACCAUUCCUCCAUACAAAACUAUUUCAGUUCAUCAAUAUUUCUGGAAUACCUUGCAUGAACAGCCCUUUUCAGGUCCUGCCACAGCAACUCAAUUAGGUUAAGAUCUGGGCUCUGACUUGGUUGUUCCAAACCACACAUUUUCUUCUUUUUAAACCAUUCUGUUGUUGAUUUACUCUUGUGUUUCUGAUUACUGUCAUGCUGCAUCAUCCAACUUCUAUUAAGCUUCAGGUGAUGGACGGCUAUCCCAGCAUUCUCCUGCAAAAUGUCUUGAUACAAUUGUGAAUUCAUUCUUCCCUCAACAAUUGGAAGCUGUCCAGCCCCUGAGGCAGCAAAGCAGCCCCAAACCAUGAUGCUGCUUCCUUCAUGCUUCACAAUAGGAUAAUGCUUUGGUGUUGGUGUGCAGUGCCCCUUUCCCUUCAAACACAGCAAUAUGCAUUUCUGCCAAAAAGUUCAAUUAUUGUCUCAUCUGUCCACAGAACAUUGUCCCAGAAGUGUUGUGGAACAUCCAGGUGGUUGUUUGCAAACUUGAGAGAAGCAGCAAUGUUUUUUUUUGGAGAGCAGUGGUUUUACUCUGUGGUGUCCUUCAUGAAUGCCAUUCUUCUUCAGUGUUUUUCUUAUAGUGGACACACGAACAGAGACUGUAGCAAAUUCCAGAGAAUUCUGCAAGUCUUUUGCUGUUAUCCAUGAGUUCUUUUUCAGCUCCUUCAGCAUUGCACAUUGUGCUCUUGGUGUGAUCUUUGCAGGACUCCCACCCCUAGGGAGAGUAGCAACAGUACUGAAUUUCCUCCAUUUGUAGACAAUUUCACAUAAUGUGGACUGAUGAACACUCGGGGCUUUAGAAAUGCUUUUGUAGCUUUUUCCGGCUUUGUGCAUCUCUGCAUUUCUUCUAACAUCCUUUGAAAGUUGUUUCGAUCACAGCAUGGUUCAAAUAAACAGAUCUUUCUUGAGAAGAGCAGGCUCUGAGUAACCUGACUUAGUGUGUUUUUUAUAGGGCAGGGCACCUCUACAGUGCACACCUCCAAUCUCAUCUCAUUGACUCCAAAAAGCUUUUAUAGAAGGCAUUACCCCAGAGGUUCACAUACUUUUUUGAACCCAGACUGAGAUUGUUUAAAUGGUGUACUCAGUAUUGACGAGAAGAAGUACAACUGUUUGUGUGUUAUUAGUUUAGGCAAAUUGUGUUUGUCUAUUAUUGUGACUUAGAUGGCAUAUUAUGAGUAAUUAGUGCAGAAAACUAGGUAAUUGUGAAGGGUUCACAAACUUUUUCUUGCAACUGUACACAGUGCCUCAGUUUCUUUUUAAAUUCUCAUACAUAUUUUUAAAUUUCAAGGACUCUGCUGCACUCUUACACUCUACCAAGUCCUCUGUGUAGCUAGGCUUUUGCACAUAUUUGGCAUUCAGUCAAUACCUACCUCUCUGUUCAUCCCUCUGCAACUUCUACCCCCACCCACCUUGACUGGUGAAGACAAGCAUACCUGUGCCUUCUAUAUCUCCCUCUCUACCUGUUCUGCCAUUUUCAAGGAGUUGUGGAAUUGCAACCCCUGAUCCCUCUGUAUGUCCAUGCUCCUUAGAGUCCUCUGGCAUUUAUUGUAAUCGUUUAAAUGCUGCGUUUCUGAAAAGCACUUUUGUGUCUUGUGUGUAUGUGAAAAAUCAAGUCCUCAUUUGGAAAAAGAGCAACCAAGCCAGGUGUUUCAAAAUCAUGGAACUCCAUUCUUUACAUAUUUUAAUUAUAUAUUGAAAGAAAGAAUUAGACCUAGCAAAAAGCCUCAUUUGUGUUUUUAUUAUAGUUUAUUGACAAUAAAUGUAGAAAGGCACACACUACCACAUCAGACAUCCUUGUUGAGAGAUGAAAACAGGAAAAAAUGUUGGUUUGGUUACCGUACAUUAAAACUGGAACGUUGACACUUUGUGCAAGUUCAGAGUUGGGAAUGGGAUAGAUGGAUAAAAGGGAGAAGAAGAUGUCUUUGCACUCAGCCAGAGAAUGUGGUGAUUAAAGGAUGAAAGGAAUAAUGAUGCAAUGCAGAAGAUAUUAGGAUAUGUAAAAUGGGUCUCAACAGCCUGUAAAUAGCAGCACACGUGUUAUUAGUACCUGCUUUCAGCGAAUUUGGAAUUAAUUGUAAAGUCUGUAGUUACUGAAAUCAAAAGUUAUCAUGCCACUUUCAUCUUCAGUUCAUUCAAGCAGUACAGGAAGUAGAAGAUACAGGUUCAUAGCAAAAUGAUCAUACAUACUGGAUCUGCAUUAUGAAACCACACUGAGCUACUUUGUACUUAGUUGAAAAUAAUAGAAAUCAGUGACUCUUUUACCCAGUCAAUUAUAUGUGAUGUUGAAUGUAAGAAAUAGGAGCAGUCCAUCUGGCCCAUUGAGGAUAGCAGUGCUCCUGCCUUCAGAUUGUAUCCUCUUUGGACUCAUUGCUUAAGUUAAGAUAAACCAGUUACACUCUUUGCCUAGAUGAUGAUCCCAUAACCUCUGCAUCAGACAUUUUUCUGGCAUCAUGUUUUGUUCAUUAUUAUGAACAGUAAACCUUGUAAUAGAGUGAGUCCAUGGGAGAUUACUUAAGGUCCAGAACAACUUUUAUUGAGAAAGAGGCUGUUUUUUUUUCUUAACAGCAGAGACUGAGGGAAAAUUAGUUGAGAUUGAUAAAAUUGUGACAGACCUACAAAAAGUGGAUUGGAUUGAUCUAUUUCACUUCACAAAGAAGUGAGGCAUAAACACAAGAUAAUUAUUCAAAAGAUAUGAGCAGCAAUGGAAAAAAUGUUUACUCUGUGGAUGGGGUUGGAGCUGAAGACUUAAAGGCACCUUCUGAAUAAACUUAAAAGAAGAUUUACAUACUGUUGCUUCCAAAUCUCCAGAACAAGUGCAGGAAAGUAGUAUUUGCCCUUUAAUGACUUGCAAGGAUGUGGUGGGCCAGUAAGUGUCUCCUAUACUAUAGAUUUUAGCAUAAUCUUUAAGUUAAAUUGCUAGCCUCAGGUAAUCUGCUGUAACCCUGAGUUUUAGUUUUUUUUAACUACUAAAUACUCUCUUUCUCAGGGUCAAAUUAAUUCAUGCAUAGUUCUUUACUUGAUAAUGAUUUAUUAAGGAAGCCUGGAAGUUGAAACAUUUUGAUCCAAUUUCUGUUGUUGAGUUAUUAAAAAGAACCACACACCUUGGCCACAUCACAUGCACAAAAUACAAUGGAGAAAUUUAAAACUGCAUAGUUUUAUCAUGAAAGGAACGGCUAGUCCAUUUUCUUGAUGGACAGGACUUGAGCAUGAAAUGGUGCAAACACUUCAAAACAAGAACACAUUUUUUUGCGUAAUUUAAUUUAGAGAAACUGUAGAUUAAUCCCAGUUUCUAGCCAGAAGUCGUCUUCACUCAAUACUACACAGCAACCUGACUUACAGAAACCUUUACAGAAAUCAUCAAGGCAUUUUGAGUUGUAUCUCUGCAAACGACCAUGUUGAUAUCAGAUGGAUAGUGAGGAUGCUAACUUGCCACUGUUACUACAGAAUCCAAUUCCAGUCAACUCUCAGCCCAGUUGUUUCAUACAUUGUUUGAAAUGACCAGAAAUGGGCUCCAACCAAUUUUCAAGCACAGUAUCAAUAUUUGUCUCAUUCCUCGUUAGCAGUGGAACUGUCUCUUGUGAAUCAGAAAAUUUAGAAGAUUUAAUUACUGCAUAAAUCUGAGCUGUGCUACAUUGAGCAAAAAUUUCAUAGCUUCAGGUUUGAUUUGUUGACUUGUUUCAUUGGUGUAAAAGAUUCCAAGUCAUUACUUUGAACUGAAAUUGACAUUUCUCAGUGCUCAUCACUUAUCGCUUGACAGUCAUUUUUCAUUUAUAUAGCUUCUAUUUGUGGGAUUUUUUAAUACAUACUUUGCUGCAUUUAUCUACAAGAUGGUGUCUAUAUUUAAAGAAAUAUUUAUUAACUGCCAUUCACUUCAUGAAAAGCAGCAAUGUGAAAGGCUGAGUCCUAUUUCCCUCUCAUGGUAGAGGUACUAUCAGUGUGGUUAAGUUAAGAUUCUUGACCUAAUUGCAAACAUUCACCACUGGCUGAUGCACUGAAAUAGAGUGAAGAAAGAUCAGUAGCUGAAUAAAAAUUAUUAAACUAAGAAAAAAUAUUUUGUGUUUCUGAAAAAAAUUACAUUAAUGAUCUAAAUUUGGCUGAGUUAUGUGGAAGAAUUAAGAGGACUUUAUUAAAGUCAAAUAAUUUGUACAUGUGAUCUGCCUUGUUGCUCCUGGAUUUUUAAAAAACAAAAUACAUUAACAGGAAGAGAAUUUCAAUGCAACAAGAGCCACUUGGAAAUGACAGGAAUGCAUAUUUAUUAAGGCAUAAAUAUUUUAUGGUUUUCCCAAAUUAAUAAAUAUGUGAUUUGAUUGUGGAGAUCGAACUACAUUCAAAGAAUAAGGAAAAAACAUUCUGAAGAUUCCAAAAAGAUCCUACCUGGUCAGAAACAGGUGACCGAUACCUGCUAAAACUGUUUAGAGAUCAUCUUUUCCACCAGUUAACUGAAGCAGGUACUCCGUGGAUCGAUC